ACCUUAAAGGGGUGCCUAUACAUGCAGUCGAACGCUUCUUUUUCCACCGGAGCUUGCUCCACCGGAAAAAGAGGAGUGGCGAACGGGUGAGUAACACGUGGGUAACCUGCCCAUCAGAAGGGGAUAACACUUGGAAACAGGUGCUAAUACCGUAUAACAAUCGAAACCGCAUGGUUUUGAUUUGAAAGGCGCUUUCGGGUGUCGCUGAUGGAUGGACCCGCGGUGCAUUAGCUAGUUGGUGAGGUAACGGCUCACCAAGGCCACGAUGCAUAGCCGACCUGAGAGGGUGAUCGGCCACAUUGGGACUGAGACACGGCCCAAACUCCUACGGGAGGCAGCAGUAGGGAAUCUUCGGCAAUGGACGAAAGUCUGACCGAGCAACGCCGCGUGAGUGAAGAAGGUUUUCGGAUCGUAAAACUCUGUUGUUAGAGAAGAACAAGGAUGAGAGUAACUGUUCAUCCCUUGACGGUAUCUAACCAGAAAGCCACGGCUAACUACGUGCCAGCAGCCGCGGUAAUACGUAGGUGGCAAGCGUUGUCCGGAUUUAUUGGGCGUAAAGCGAGCGCAGGCGGUUUCUUAAGUCUGAUGUGAAAGCCCCCGGCUCAACCGGGGAGGGUCAUUGGAAACUGGGAGACUUGAGUGCAGAAGAGGAGAGUGGAAUUCCAUGUGUAGCGGUGAAAUGCGUAGAUAUAUGGAGGAACACCAGUGGCGAAUGCGGCUCUCUGGUCUGUAACUGACGCUGAGGCUCGAAAGCGUGGGGAGCAAACAGGAUUAGAUACCCUGGUAGUCCACGCCGUAAACGAUGAGUGCUAAGUGUUGGAGGGUUUCCGCCUCUUCAGUGCUGCAGCUAACGCAUUAAGCACUCCGCCUGGGGAGUACGACCGCAAGGUUGAAACUCAAGGAAUUGACGGGGGCCCGCACAUCGGUGGAGCAUGUGGUUUAUUCGAGCACGCGAAGAACCUUACCAGGUCUUGACAUCCUUUGACCACUCUAGAGAUAGAGCUUCCCCUUCGGGGGCAAAGUGGACAGGUGGUGCAUGGAUUGUCGUCAGCUUGGUUUGGGGGAAUGUGGGUUAAAUUCCGCCAAGAGGCCCACCCUUUUUUUUUAUUUCCCUCCAUUAAGUGGGCCAUUUAACCAAGCCGCCGGGGGCCAACCGGGGGGAGGGGGGGGAGGAGUUAAAUUCUCCUUCCCCUUUUGGCCUGGGGUUCCCCCCGGGUUCCAAGGGAAGGUCAAAGGGGUGGGGAAUUCGGGGGGUUAAGUUAUUUUUUAAAACUUUUUUUCAUUUGGGAUUCCGGGUGCCAAUUCCCUUCCAGAAACCGGGAAUCGUUAUUAUUCGGGGAUAACCACGCCGGGGGGAAUACUUUCCGGGCCUUUUUCCCCCCCCCCCGCCCCCCCAGGGGAGUUGGUACCCCCGGAAUUGGGGGGGUUACCCUUUUGGAGCCAGCCGCCUAAGGUGGGAUAGAUGAUUGGGGUGAAGUCGUAACAAAGUACCUUAUUGC
rnacentral:rRNA from 1 species